CUAAGCACCCCAAGACGCAGCGCACCCUUAACCCCCACAAUGGCCACCUCCGGCCCUCCCGGCGGUGGGCUGGGCUUGGCGCACAGUCGCGUCAUUUGACGAGCGGCUGCUUGGAGUUUUGAAGCCGACCGGGCUUUGCUUUUGUAGAAACUUUUUUUUUUGUGUGUGUUACCCUCCCCGGCAAUACUUAUUAACUUUUGCCUACCUCGGUAAAGCACUGGGAAUGAGUCGAAAACAGGGCCGGGGUAAAGUCCGGAGCUCGGAGAGACUCAAAGGAAAGAGCUCCCAUGCUUCACUCAGCACAGCAGUGGAAAGUUCAGUUCAGGCUCCCUUGAAGAAGACUGAAUCCCAUCGUUCUGUCAAACGGCAGAAAUGUGAAGUGCCUGAACCGCAGCCAGAAACGUCGGCAGAUGUCCCCGAAGACGUCGGUGGCCUGUCGGGAGGAACAGCCCAGGAGCAGGGCGUCAAUGGGAGUUCUGCAAGGGAGCUCGGCACGGCGAGAGGCACACAGAGCCAUCUCCCCGAGGCAGAGGAGAUGAGCCCCACAGGAGCCAGCGAGUGCCGGACUUUGGAGUCUGAAUCCGGUGUUGCGAUGAACUCGAGUGCGGAGAGAGCAGUUGAUAAUUGUGUGCCAAAGCUGGAGCUCCAAAUGGACAACAGUGUUUUCCUGGACGAGGACAGUAACCAGCCAAUGCCAGUGGGCCAGUUCUUUGGGAAUAUAGAACUUGUACAGGACGAUCCUCCCAGAGCUCCAGCAACAGUCCCAAUGAGCCGGAGGGAGUACAGGAGGCUACACUUCAUUGCUAAAGACGACGAGGAUGACCUCUACGAAGACAGCCACGUGGAACAGCCUCAGCAGAAUGAAUCUCCCCUUCCAGAAAGUUGCAACACUACCAUACAAUCAGGAAGCUACAUAAGCAAUGGGAGCAGAUGAGAGAG
ensembl:lincRNA